rnacentral:rRNA from 1 species
AAUAACUUCGGGAAACCGAGGCUAAUACCGCAUAAUACCCACGGGUCAAAGGAGCAAUUCGCUUGAGGAGGAGGUCGCGGCCGAUUAGUUAGUUGGCGGGGUAAUGGCCCACCAAGACAGUGAUCGGUAUCCGGCCUGAGAGGGCGCACGGACACACUGGAACUGAAACACGGUCCAGACUCCUACGGGAGGCAGCAGUGGGGAAUUUUGCGCAAUGGGGGAAACCCUGACGCAGCAACGCCGCGUGGAGGAUGAAGUCUCUUGGGACGUAAACUCCUUUCGAUCGGGACGAUUAUGACGGUACCGGAAGAAGAAGCCCCGGCUAACUUCGUG